CCCUUAGAUGUUCUGGGCCGCACGCGCGCUACACUGACGAAUGCAACGAGCUUAUAACCUUGGCCGAAAGGUCUGGGUAAUCUCCAAAUUUCGUCGUGAUGGGGAUGGAUUAUUGCAAUUAUUAAUCUUCAACGAGGAAUGCCUAGUAAGCGCAAGUCAUCAGCUUGCGUUGAUUACGUCCCUGCCCUUUGUACACACCGCCCGUCGCUCCUACCGAUUGAAUGGUCCGGUGAAGCGCUCGGACCGCGGCCUCUUGACGGUUCGCUGUCGAUUGGCUGUGGGAAGUUCGUUAAACCUUAUCAUUUAGAGGAAGGAGAAGUCGUAACA
rnacentral:rRNA from 1 species